CCUGAAGAGAUUGAAAAAGAGCAGGCUGCUGCUGAAAACACUGUGACCAAGGAGGAAUUUCAGGGUGAAUGGACUGCUCCAGCUCCUGAGUUCACUGCUACUCAGCCUGAGGUUGCAGACUGGCCUGACGGCGUGCAGGUGCCCUCUGUGCCUAUUCAGCAGCUCCCUACUGAAGACUGGAGCACUCAGCCUGCCACGGAAGACUGGUCUGCAGCUCCCACUGCUCAGGCCACUGAAGGGUGUGUUUUAGAACCCUGUGAAAUGCACCACUGAAGAGAAGGCUCUUAGGAGUCAUGGUGACUGAGAACAUCACAGUAUCCUGGCUGGGGUCCUGGAACAGAAUUGGGCAUUCGUGAAAAAACUGGAGAAAUCCAAAUAAAGACUUCAGUUCAGUUAGUAAUGUUAUAUCAAUGUUAAUUUCUUAGUUUUGGUAAAUAUAUUGUGGAUACAUAAGAUGUUAACAUGAAAGAAAUCUGUACUACCCAUACUACCUUUACAAUUCUCCCACAAAUCUAAAGUUAUUUCCAAAUAAAAAUUUUAAGAUAC
rnacentral:lncRNA from 1 species